CUUUCUCGGCAAACUAUCUCUUAAAACUCCCCCAUUUUGGUUCUUCCAUCUUCCGCCUUCGCCAUCCCACUCCCUCAUUUUCAGAUGCUAACUCGGCCGCUUCUCUGCCCUCGUCGUCAACCACGACACCUGCACCAAUAAGCCUUCGCUCUCUUUGCUAGGACAAAGAGAAUAAGAAAACAGAUACUCGUGCUCUUUCCUUUUUCUUCUUUCCUCUGAAACCCAUCCCCAUGUUUUUCCUUACUGACUAGAUAUUCAGGUUGAGCGUGCCGAGGAGUAAAGUAGGCGAAGUUUGCUGCCAUCGUCUCACUGGAGUCCAGCCACUAUAGCGGAAAUCAUCACUGUAAAGUUUCCCGCACUCUUAUACCUUUUUUCUCCCUUAAUUGUAUUUUUUUCUUCUCUGUCUGUAAUCAUGUCGGUUAUGCUUUACUUUCAUCUUGUUAAUCGAUUUUAAGUGGUUGGAAUUGAUCAUAGGUUUGAGUAGAGUUUUAUAUUUAAAAUUCAAGCUCAGGCCGUAUAAGGAAUUGAUGAAAAAGAAAUUUCAAAACUUUUCAUACUCACUACCUGUUUGUCAGAAGGUUCGAAUGAAAAAAGAAGGAAAUUUGUAAGGAAGCGAACAGAGAGAUGAGAGUGAUUGGAGAGUGAUGAGAGUAAAUAAUUACUGCUAUGAUAUGACUACUGUGAAUCUUAUUCUAUCUUUUAUUAAUUCACUCCAAUUUGUGUUGAAAGAGAAAUUUUGUGUGUUUAUACAUGAGAAUCAUACCCAUGCCAUGCUUUCUGAGGAAAUCAAGGAGAAAACCGCAGAACUGAGGCACAUCUCAAAGGUGAAGAGCUAGUAGGACUGAGCAUGGAAGACUUGGUUAAACUCGAAAAAUUGGUUGAAGCAGGGUUAAGCCGUAUUGCCAAAAACAAGGGUGACAAAUUCAUGAAGAAAUUGGUAUUCUCAAGAAAAAGGCUA